ACGGGAGGCAGCAGUGGGGAAUAUUGGGCAAUGGGCGAAAGCCUGACCCAGCAACGCCGCGUGAAGGAAGAAGGUUUUCGGAUUGUAAACUUCUUUUAUCAGGGACGAAGGAAGUGACGGUACCUGAUGAAUAAGCCGCGGCUAACUACGUGCCAGCAGCCGCGGUAAUACGUAGGUGGCAAGCGUUAUCCGGAUUUACUGGGUGUAAAGGGCGCGUAGGCGGGGAUGCAAGUCAGAUGUGAAGUCCAUGGGCUUAACCCAUGAACUGCAUUUGAAACUGUAUUUCUUGAGUGUCGGAGAGGUAGACGGAAUUCCUAGUGUAGCGGUGAAAUGCGUAGAUAUUAGGAGGAACACCAGUGGCGAAGGCGGUCUACUGGACGAUAACUGACGCUGAGGCGCGAAAGCGUGGGGAGCAAGCAGGAUUAGAUACCCUGGUA
rnacentral:rRNA from 1 species